GUAGGUGGCAAGCGUUGUCCGGAAUUAUUGGGCGUAAAGCGCGCGCAGGCGGUCUUUAAGUCUGAUGUGAAAGCCCACGGCUCAACCGUGGAGGGUCAUUGGAAACUGGAGAACUUGAGUACAGAAGAGGAAAGCGGAAUUCCACGUGUAGCGGUGAAAUGCGUAGAGAUGUGGAGGAACACCAGUGGCGAAGGCGGCUUUCUGGUCUGUAACUGACGCUGAGGCGCGAAAGCGUGGGGAGCAAACAGGAUUAGAUACCCUGGUAGUCCACGCCGUAAACGAUGAGUGCUAAGUGUUAGGGGGUAUCCGCCCUUAGUGCUGCAGCUAACGCAUUAAGCACUCCGCUGGGAGUACGCCGCAAGGCUG
rnacentral:rRNA from 1 species